ACCCUUAGCAUCAUGGGGACUUCCUCUAC
rnacentral:piRNA from 1 species